rnacentral:rRNA from 1 species
UACGAAGGUCCCAAGCGUUAUCCGGAUUUAUUGGGUUUAAAGGGUGCGUAGGCGGGUUAUUAAGUCAGUGGUGAAAGCUCCCAGCUCAACUGGGAAACUGCCAUUGAUACUGAUAGUCUUGAGUAUGAUUGAAGUGGGCGGAAUGUGUCAUGUAGCGGUGAAAUGCUUAGAUAUGACACAGAACACCGAUUGCGAAGGCAGCUCACUAAGCCAAUAACUGACGCUGGAUGCACGAAAAGCCGUGGGGAGCAAACAGG